GGGUCUUUAGCUCAAUUCGGUUAGAGCAAACGACUCAUAAUCGUUAGGUUCUUGGUUCAAGUCCAAGAAGACCCACCA
rnacentral:tRNA from 1 species